GAUCAUGGCUCAGGAUGAACGCUGGCGGCGUGCUUAACACAUGCAAGUCGAACGAAGCCAAAAGGAAGCUUGCUUCUUUGAAGCUUAGUGGCGGACGGGUGAGUAACGCGUGAGUAACCUGCCCUUCAGUGGGGAAUAACACAGAGAAAUCUGUGCUAAUACCGCAUAACGUCUUCUUGCCGCAUGACAGGAAGACCAAAGGAUUUAUUCGCUGAAGGAUGGACUCGCGUCCGAUUAGCUAGUUGGUGAGGUAACGGCCCACCAAGGCGACGAUCGGUAGCCGAACUGAGAGGUUGAUCGGCCACAUUGGGACUGAGACACGGCCCAGACUCCUACGGGAGGCAGCAGUGGGGAAUAUUGGGCAAUGGGCGAAAGCCCUGACCCAGCAACGCCGCGUGAAGGAAGACGGUCUUCGGAUUGUAAACUUCUUUGAUUGGGGAAGAAACAAAUGACCUACCCAAAGAACAAGUCACGGCUAACUACGUGCCAGCCGCUGC
rnacentral:rRNA from 1 species